UACGUAGGGGGCUAGCGUUGUCCGGAAUCACUGGGCUUAAAGCGUGUGUAGGUGGAUCGGUAAGUACCUUGUAAAAUCCCACAGCUCAACUGUGGAACUGCUUGGUAUACUGCCAGUCUUGAGGCACUCAGGGGCGAGCGGAACAAGUGGUGGAGCGGUGAAAUGCGUAGAUAUCACUUGGAACGCCAAUGGUGAAGACAGCUCGCUGGGGGUGUACUGACACUGAGACACGAAAGCCAGGGGAGCGAACGGG
rnacentral:rRNA from 1 species